UUACAUCAGCAGUCAUCUCUGUGGUAAAGUGUGGCUAGCACCACCUGCCAGGUGCUCAUUUGGACAUCCACCAAAACCUAGUGGCUAAUACACGCAUGACCUGGUCUGCCAUGUGGACAUCUGCUGGCAACUCUGCUGUCACAUGAUGUGUGGUGGAUUGCACCCAGCCGCUGUGAAGACCAGCGCCUGAAAAUGGCAGUGACCCAUGGUUGACUCAGGCUGGUCCCUCUGUGGACAAUGGCUCUGGCAGAGUGGGGCUUAUCAGCCCACAUCACUUGCUUGACCACACGAACUUCUGACCUAUCAGCUUUGACUGUGGUGUCGUGGACCACAGUGGCAGCUACGGGUAACGGAGAAUCAGGGUUCGAUUCCGGAGAGGGAGCCUGAGAAACGGCUACCACUACCAAGGUGGGCAGCAGGCGCGCAAAUUGCCCAAUGCUAACACAUUUUGGCGAGGCAGCAACGAACUGCAGCAAUUCUGCCUGUCCUCUGAGACCAGCAGAACUUGGAAUGGAUGCUAUCCAAACACAGUGAUGAGAAUCAACUGGAGGGCAAGUCUGGUGCCAGCAGCUGCGGUAAUUCCAGCUCCAAGUGCGUAUACUGACAUUGCUGCUGUUAAAACACUUGUAGUCUGCCGCUGAGUGCAAGUCUGACAGGUGGCCAGCUGUUGCUUGUGGUCCUAGGCUCUCAGCCAAAGGGCUGCCUGUGACAGUUGGAUCUCAACCCCUGCCAGUAUGUCUUGCUCUCGACCAAGAUGGUGAGUUCACUCCUGCUCCAAGCCUCCUUCAGUGGAGGCCCAGGCGGCCUUGUGCCAAACGCAUAUGUGGGCUGUGUGAGGUGCACCUCCCUGUGAGUCAUGCCUCAGCCCGCCACAGGAGUUCACUGUCUCAGCUACCCUGGACAACUCAGUGUGCUCAAAGCAUCCUCCAUUGGCUGGAUGUCUCUCCAUGGAACAGCAAAGCAUCGACCAAUUGGGCCUCACAGUUGUGCUGGCCUUGGUGCUCAAUCUGGAGAAUGUGUCAUGGCUCCUGGCUGCUGGCUCCACAGUGCCCCUGUGGCUUCUGUGUCCACUGCCAGUGGGUUAUGGCUGUCGUCCAAGAUGGGAUUGCUCAGGGUGCAAGAUAUGGCAACGCCAGAGGUGAAAUUCUUAGACCGCUGCCAGAUCAACUGCAGCGAAGGCGUUGUGCAGCUGCCUGUCCGUCGAUCAAGAAUGAGAGCGUGGGGAGCAAAGAUGAUCAGACACCGUCGUAGUCCACAGCUGUAAACUAUGCCAGCUUGGUGCUGACUGGGCAAGUCCACGGACCCUGCCAGCGCCAUGCCCCCUGCAACGAGAAAUCCAAGCCUUUGGGUUCAGGGGGAAGUACUGUCGCAAGGCUGAAACUUAAAGGAAUUGACGGAAUGGCACCACAAGGUGUGGAGUAUGCGGCUUAAUUUGACUCAACACGGGGAAUGUUACCAGGUCAGGACGUUGCUUGGAUGGACAGAUUGAGAGCUCUUUCUUGAUCCCUUGGAUGGUGGUGCAUGGCCGCUCCUGAUUGGUGGAGUGAUUUGUCUGGUUGAUUCCGAUAACGAGUGAGACAUCUGCCUCCCAAUAGCCUCAGCCUCGCAUCUGUAGGGCUGGCUUGGCUGUCCCCUGGCGGCUUGCUGCUUGUGGGUCACCAUUGGCUGCCUGAGAGGAUUGAGUUCAGCUUCUCUGAGGUGCUGUGUGCGCCACCAAGCACACGCAUGCUAGAGCCAACAGCAGGUCUGUGAUGCUCCCAGAUGUCCUGGGCCGCACGCGCACUACAUUGACACAGUGAACGUGUUCUUGCUCACUUCCCUGAGCCCCUCCUGGAAGUUGGAGGGAAACCAUGUGAGCCUGUGCUGUACUGGGGAUAGAUGAUUGCAACUGUCUGCCUUGAACGAGGAAUACCUAGUAUGCGCAGGUCAUCAGCCUGCACAGAUUGUGUCCCUGCCAUUUGUACACACCNGCCCCGGUCGA
rnacentral:rRNA from 1 species